AUUGAACGCUGGCGGCAUGCUUUACACAUGCAAGUCGAACGGUAACAGGCCUUCGGUUGCUGACGAGUGGCUAACGGGUGAGUAAUGCAUCUGAACGUACCCAUCGUUGGGUGAUAACGCAGCUAAAGCUGUGCUAAUACCUCAUGUGAUCUGAGUAUGUAAGCGGUGGACCUCGCAGCUUUUUUUGUCCUCUCGCCUUUUUAUCCGCCGAUGUCGGAUUAGCUAGUUGGUUGGGUAAAGGCCUACCAAGGCGACGAUCCGUAGAUGGUCUGAGAGGACGAACAGCCACACUGGGACUGAGACACGGCACAGACUCCUACGGGAGGCAGCAGUGGGGAAUGUUGGAAAAGGGGCGAAAGCCUGAUACAGCAAUGCCGCGUGAGGGAAGAAGGCCUUCGGGUUGUAAACCGCUUUUGGCAGGAACGAAACGGUGUCCGCUAAUACCGGGCGAUAAUGACGGUACCUGCAGAAUAAGCACCGGCUAACUACGUG
rnacentral:rRNA from 1 species